rnacentral:rRNA from 1 species
GCAUAUCAAUAAGCGGAGGAAAAGAAAAUAACAAUGAUUUCCCUAGUAACGGCGAGUGAAGAGGAAAGAGCUCAAAGUUGGAAACUGUUUGGCUUAGCUAAACCGUAUUGUAAACUGUAGAAACAUUUUCCUGGCACGCCGGAUUAAUAAGUCCUUUGGAACAAGGCAUCAUGGAGGGUGAGAAUCCCGUCUUUGAUCCGAGUAGUUGUCUUUUGUGAUAUGUUUUCAAAGAGUCAGGUUGUUUGGGAAUGCAGCCUAAAUUGGGUGGUAAAUCUCACCUAAAGCUAAAUAUUUGCGAGAGACCGAUAGCGAACAAGUACCGUGAGGGAAAGAUGAAAAGAACUUUGAAAAGAGAGUUAAACAGUAUGUGAAAUUGUUAAAAGGGAACCGUUUGGAGCCAGACUGGUUUGACUGUAAUCAACCUAGAAUUCGUUCUGGGUGCACUUGCAGUCUAUACCUGCCAACAACAGUUUGAUUUGGAGGAAAAAAUUAGUAGGAAUGUAGCCUCUCGAGGUGUUAUAGCCUACUAUCAUACUCUGGAUUGGACUGAGGAACGCAGCGAAUGCCUUUAGGCGAGAUUGCUGGGUGCUUUCGCUAAUAAAUGUUAGAAUUUCUGCUUCGGGUGGUGCUAAUGUUUAAAGGAGGAACACAUCUAGUAUAUUUUUUAUUCGCUUAGGUUGUUGGCUUAAUGACUCUAAAUGACCCGUCUUGAAACACGGACCAAGGAGUCCACCAUAAGUGCAAGUAUUUGAGUGACAAACUCAUAUGCGUAAGGAAACUGAUUGAUACGAAAUCUUUUGAUGGCAGUAUCACCCGGCGUUGACGUUUUAUACUGAACUGACCGAGGUAAAGCACUUAUGAUGGGACCCGAAAGAUGGUGAACUAUGCCUGAAUAGGGUGAAGCCAGAGGAAACUCUGGUGGAGGCUCGUAGCGAUUCUGACGUGCAAAUCGAUCGUCAAAUUUGGGUAUAGGGGCGAAAGACUAAUCGAACCAUCUAGUAGCUGGUUCCUGCCGA